rnacentral:lncRNA from 1 species
GGGUUGAAGGAAUUUCAAUGUUGAUUAUCUUUGUUGGCCAUCCAGAAAAGUUUGACUUAAACUCCUCCUCAUCACAGUGAUAUGUAUUGGUACCUACUUGCUUUCCUCCAGAAAAAUGCUUCCAAUAUUUAUUACUUGCUCUACAGUACUUGGAAAAAGGCAUCAUCCACAAUGACGAAGCAAAGGAGUUGAACAUCAAUCGAGCUGUAACCUCAGAUACUGGAAGACCAAAUGUGAAUCCAGAAAGUGUUGCUUCAAUGGUU